AUACGGAGGAUCCGAGCGUUAUCCGGAUUUAUUGGGUUUAAAGGGAGCGUAGGCGGACGCUUAAGUCAGUUGUGAAAGUUUGCGGCUCAACCGUAAAAUUGUAGUUGAUACUGGGUGUCUUGAGUACAGUAGAGGCAGGCGGAAUUCGUGGUGUAGCGGUGAAAUGCUUAGAUAUAACGAAGAACGCCGAUCGCGAAGGCAGCUCACCGGGCCGGAACUGACACUGAUGCUCGAAAGUGCGGGUAUCAAACAGGAUUAGAUACCCUGGUAGUCCGCACAGUAAACGAUGAAUACUCGCUGUUUGCGAUACACGGUAAGCGGCCAAGCGAAAGCGUUAAGUAUUCCGCCUGGGGAGUACGCCGGCAACGGUGAAACUCAAAUGAAUUGACGGGG
rnacentral:rRNA from 1 species